CCUACGGGUGGCAGCAGUGGGGAAUAUUGCACAAUGGGGGAAACCCUGAUGCAGCGACGCCGCGUGAGUGAAGAAGUAUUUCGGUACGUAAAGCUCUAUCAGCAGGGAAGAAAAUGACGGUACCUGACUAAGAAGCCCCGGCUAACUACGUGCCAGCAGCCGCGGUAAUACGUAGGGGGCAAGCGUUAUCCGGAUUUACUCGGUGUAAAGGGAGCGUAGACGGCAGCGCAAGUCUGGAGUGAAAUCCCAUGGCUUAACCAUGGAACUGCUUUGGAAACUGUGCAGCUAGAGUGCAGGAGAGGUAAGCGGAAUUCCUAGUGUAGCGGUGAAAUGCGUAGAUAGUAGGAGGAACACCAGUGGCGAAGGCGGCUUACUGGACUGUAACUGACGUUGAGGCUCGAAAGCGUGGGGAGCAAACAGGAUUAGAUACCCCUGUAGUC
rnacentral:rRNA from 1 species